CGAUGUGAGGGCGAUCUGGCUGCGACAUCUGUCACCCCAUUGAUCGCCAGGGUUGAUUUGGCUGAUCUGGCUGGCUAGGUGGAUGUACCCUUCCUCCCUCGCCACUCCACGUGCGUCCCUCCCGAAGCUGCACGCUCGGUGGAAGAGGACGACCAUCCCAGAUAGAAGGAGUGUACCGUUCUUCGGUCAAGGGUAUACAAUAGCUGUGCUCCCCUGCUAGAACCUCCAAAUAAGCUCAAGGUCCAUUUGUAGGAAGGGCCAAGGCAACAAAAAAGGAAAACAGAUGGCCAAAAAAUGCCCGGUGCCACAGGUUU
rnacentral:snRNA from 1 species